CUGACCUCAGAUCAGGCGAGAUUACCCGCUGAGUUUAAGCAUAUCACUAAGCGGAGGAAAAGAAACUAACAAGGAUUCCCUUAGUAGCGGCGAGCGAACCGGGAAGAGCC
rnacentral:rRNA from 1 species